rnacentral:rRNA from 1 species
UACGGAGGGUGCAAGCGUUAAUCGGAUUUAUUGGGCGUAAAGCGUACGCAGGCGGUCUAUUAAGUCAGAUGUGAAAGCCCAGAGCUUAACUUGGUAAUUGCAUUUGAAACUGGUUGGCUAGAGUCUUGUAGAGGGGGGUAGAAUUCCCUGUGUAGCGGUGAAAUGCGUAGAGAUUUGGAAGAAUACCUGUGGCGAAGGCGGCCACCUGGACCAAUACUGACGCUCAGGUACUAAAGCGUGGGGAGCAAAGGGG